AGCCACCAUACCUACCUACUAUGGCAUUUUCAUUGCCAUUCCGAGAUAUAUUGCCAUGCAACUCCCACCGUUCCGUCUCAUGACUUGUGCCGUCACUCUCAUAUUGCCAUUGCAUGAUCAUAAGACAGCUAGCGAGAUGUUUCAACGUCAUACGCCAAGCUAGAUCGUUGAACAUCCCGGUACACUGCCGGAGGCAUUUCCUAUAGAGUCAUCAUCGUUCUAAGCUUUGAGCUGUGAGUAAAUAAAAGUGUGAUGAUCAUCAUUAUUAGAGCAUUGUCCCAUGUGAGGAAAUAAAAAAAUAGAGGCCAAAGUUGCCCACAAAAAAAGAGAUAUGGAAAGAGGCCGAAGAACCCAAACAAAAAAAAGAAAAAGAAAAAAAGAGAGAAAAUUAGAGAAGGGACAAUGCUACUAUCUUUUUCCACACUUGUGCUUCAUAAUAGCACCAUGUUCUUCAUGAUUGAGAGCCUCCUCGUUUUGUCACCACCAUAUACUAGUGGGAAUCUUUAUUAUAUAACUUGGCUUGUAUAUUCCAAUGAUGGGCUUCCUCAAAAUUGCCCUAGGUCUUCGUGAGCAAGCAAGUUGGAUGCACACCCACUAGUUCUCCUUUUGAGCUUUAACAUACUUAUAGCUCUAAGUGCAUCCAUUGCAUGGUAAUCCCUACUCUUUCACAUUGAUAUCUAUUAAUGGGCAUCUCCAUAGCCCUUUGAUACGCCGAGUCGAUGUGACCAUCUCCUCCUUUUUGUCUCACAACCUCCACCACACUCUAUUCCACCAUAGUGCUAUAUCCAUGGCUCAUGCUCAUGUAUUGCAUGAGAGUUGAAAAAGGUUUGAGAACGUAAGAGUGCGAAAACAAUUACUUCGCCAAUACCGGGGUUGUGCAUGAUUUAAAUUAGUUGUGUGGGGAUGAUGGAGCAUAGCCAGACUAUAUGAUUUUGUAGGGAUAACUUUCUUUGGCCUUGUUAUUUCGAAAGUUCAUGAUUACCUUGCUAGUUUACUUGAAGUAUUAUUGUUUUCAUGUCAAUAGCAAAUUAUUGUUUUUAAUCUUAUGUAUAGGAACAUUCAUGUCACAUGAAAGAAGUUACAAAGGACAACUAUGCUAGGUAGCAUUCCACAUCAAAAAUUAAGUCUCUAUCACUUCCCUACUCGAGGACGAGCGGGAGUUAAGCUUGGGAUGCUUGAUACGUCUGUAACGUAUCUAUACUUUUUGAUGGUUCCAUGCUAUUAUCUUGUCAAUCUUUGGAUGUUUUGUAUGCCUUUUAUAUCUUUUUUGGGACUAACUUAUUAACUCAGUGCCAAGUGCCAGUUUCUGUUUUUUUCGUGUUUUUGACCCUUUUCAGAGGAGAAUUUUAAACGGUGUCCAAACGGAAUAAAACUUCUGAUUUUUUUUCCGGAACAGAAGAUACGCACGGGACGUGAGAACCAAGGCAGAAGCCACCAGGGGACGCCACAAGCCCCCUAGGCGCGGCCAGGGGGGCCCGCGCCUAGCAGGCUUGUGGGCCCCGUGUGGCUCGUCCGCCCUACCUCUUCCGCCUAUAAAUUCCUGAAAAAUCCAAAACCGCGGGAGAGAUCCUUGAAAAUACUUUUCCGCCGCCACAAACUUCUGUCUCCGCAAGAUCCCAUCUAGGGAACGUUCUGGUGCCCUGCCGGAGGGGGGAUUCGGAUACGGAGGGCUUCUUAAUCAACACCAUGACCUCUCCGAUGAUGCAUGAGUAGUUUACCAUAGACCUUCGGGUCCAUAGCUAGUAGCUAGAUGGCUUAUUCUCUCUCUUGGAUCUUCAAUACAAAGUUCUCCAUGAUCUUCAUGGAGAUCUAUCCGAUGUAAUCUUAUUUUGUUGUGUGUUUGUCGAGAUCCGAUGAAUUGUGGAUUUAUGAUCAGUUUAUCUAUGAAUCUUAUUUGAGUUUCUUCUCAUCUCUUAUAUGCAUGAUUUCAUAUCCUUGUAAUUCUCUUCGAGUGAUGGGUUUUGUUUGGCCAACUUGAGCUAUGAUUCUUGCAAUGGGAUAAGUGCUUGGUUUUGGGUCCAUACCGUGCGGUGACCUCACCCAGUGACAGAAGGAGUAGCGAGGAACGCAUCGUGUUGUUGCCAUCAAGGGUAAUAAGAUGGGGUUUACAUCAUUGGUUUGAGUUUAUCCCUCUACAUCAUGUUAUCUUGCUUAAGGUGUUACUCUGUUUGUCAUGAACUCAAUACAAUAGAUGCAUGCUGGAUAGCGGUCGAUGUGUGGAGUAAUAGUAGUAGAUGCAGACAGUAUCGGUCUACUUGUCUCGGACGUGAUGCCUAUAUGUAUGAUCAUUGUCUUAGAUAUCGUCAUGACUUUGCGCGGUUCUAUCAAUUGCUCGACAGUAAUUUGUUCACCCACCGUAAUAUUUGCUACUUUGAGAGAAGCCUCUAGUGAACACUAUGGCCCCCGGGUCUACUUCACAUCAUAUUUUCAGCCUUUCACUUUUACUUCGUUGCACUUUCCGCCUUCAGUUCUCACUUUGCAAUCAAUCUUGAAGGGAUUGAUAACCCCUUUAUAGCGUUGGGUGCAAGCUCGUUUGUGUUUGCGCAGGUACUCUGGACACUUGGCUUGAUUAUCCUACUGGAUUGAUACCUUGGUUCUCAAACCGAGGGAAAUACUUACUGCUCGUGUGCUGUAUCACCCUUUCCUCUUCAAGGGGAAACCAAUGCAAGCUCAAGAUGCAGCAGAAGGAUUUCUGGCGCCGUUGCCGGGGACUUAUGGCGCCGUAGCAGCGGCCAACUCCAGUUCCAUGCUGGCGCGCUGCGCCGCGAGCAUGCCCAAGUUUAGGUUGCGAUACCAGGACUUGGCAAGGCGAAGCACCAUAUAUGCCCCAGCUUGUGCAGCUGACGCACACGAGGCGUCCAGCUGGGAAGUUCCUACCUCGAGCCAUCAGGACAGCCGGCUCAUUGACGCUGGCUCCACCGUGUCCGGCCAAAGGGCAUUCACCAUCGCCAACCCGGACUCCUGGAGCGAGGUCAGGGACUGCAACAGCUCCCACAUAUGGGCCCUGGCGGCAAGGGCCACCUCCUCCGCGGUCUAGCCGGCACUAAUAUUCACCAUGGCGCCGGCGGCACGUCGUUCUUUGCGAUGAGCCUCUACAGCCGUGUCCACCGCAUCUCAAUUCCCUAGAAAGAGAUGGUGGGGGGCAAUGGCGGGGUCAUGGCGUAAAGAAGGAGAAAAAAGAAUUCAACAAUAAAAAGACAAGAUGAGGCAGGGACGACUCACGGUUGAGAAGGAUGUCGACUUCGCCCGCCUCCUCCUCAACCUCGCGGUCCUGGACCGCACACUCCUAAGCCUGGCGAGCGAGCUUGUUCCCCAGGGCCUGUGUCGCCUUAACUUCCUUCGCCAGUUGAGCUUUCAUGUCCUUCAUGGCGGCGUCCUGCUGCGCCUUUUCGUCAAGGCGCAGCUUCUCCAAACGUUCAAGCUCGAUGGCUUGGGAGGCAUCCUUCCGCAACAUGUUGUCGUUGUGUCCGACGCGCAGCCGCUCCAGCUCCGUUUGAUGGGCCGCCUCGUGGUCCUUCUUCUCCAUCUGGAGAAGCUCUACUUCCUGACGUAGCCGGCCGCCCUCACCGCGCAAGGCGUCGCGCUCCGUGACGGCUCGGUCGAGCCGGCCUUGAAGGUCGCCUGUUUGUUCUAUGUAAUGAUCAUUGGCAUGAAUAAACAUUGCAUAACUAUGCGCUUUUAUACCAAUUUACCAACAAUAAUUUGUUUACCACCGUAUGCUUUUCUACCAAUUUAACAACAGUAAUAUGUUCACCCACCGUAUGUUUCCUACGGGAGACAAGCCUCUAGCGAAAACUAUCGCCCCGGGGUCUAUUCACAAAUAUAUUUACAAAAAUACUAAAUACUUCUUUGAAUUUUAUUAUUUGUAUUUAUUUUUUAUAUUUAAUAUAUUUUAGCUAUCUAUAUAUCACUACUUACCGUUUGCAAGUAACUAGUUCAAGGCGAUUGACAACCCUCUUGCUCGCGUUGGGUGCAAUUGUUUGCUAUUUUGUGUGUAGGCGCUGAACACAGGAAAAUGUGUCGUUCUUCUAUUGGUUUAAUAACCUUGGUUCUCACUGAGGAAAUACUUAUCUAUUCUCUGCUUCAUCAACUCCUCUUUGGGGAUAAAUCCAACGCAGAUCACAAUUAUCACGCGUGCGUUCCCACCCAACAUCGGCGGCCCACAUUCAUACCGAUGUAGAGCGGUCGCUCCGCAUUGAAGCCAUCCCGGAGCGGAUGUGGCAUCUCACUAGCACCGACGUUGAAGCGGUGCAUCGACCGACAGUGCCGCCCAUUGCACACCCGUGUGAGCAUGCCUCUUCGCUGCACUCAAACGCCUCUAUUAAACCCGCAUGUGUGCCAAGAAACCUAUUAUAGUAACAUGUCCAUUUGCGAGAUAGUCGGCCUUAAACACAACACCGGGAAAGCUCCCUGCGCCCGCCUGCUAUAUAAAGGAGGCCAGACGCUGGUAAAGGAUCGCACCACUCCUCCACUCCACAUCUCCCCCUUCCACCAUUUUCCCCCCCUUUCCAUGGCAUCCGACGAGUAGGAAGAGCAGUUGUCCAGUAUAAAAGUUGGUUGGGUGGCUCGCUGAGCCCUCUAGAUACGAACUAGGCAACUUGCUGCUCCUCCUCCCUCGCCGAGCUCGACAAAGAAAGUGGCCGCACCAAGCCGGCGCCUAGUUCAACAACUCUCUAUUCCAAGCCAGCUCACAGAGGAGUAGAGAGUUGCUCCAGACCGGCAUGGUGGAACUGACAUCAUGGCUGCCAUGGACGAGGCCAGGCGCCAAGCCAUCCAGCGUCGACUUUCGCGGAACCGCGUCGUGCUUGUGGACAAAGAAACUAGCUUGGAGAUUGACAAGGCUGCGGGGUUCGUGGGAGUUACCCGCAACUCUCAUACCAGUCGUGCAUGGCAAAAUUUUAGUCAUCGACUUGACUCAUUCCCGUAACCCACGGUGCCGCGCGGCGCAACGCGGCGCGGCGUGGCGAGGAGAGGCGGGCGACGGAGGAGCGCGCGUGUAUGUCUCUCUUGUUCUCAUGCUCAUACAUGUGUGAAACAUCAUCCCUUAUAAGGAGGUCCAACUCCUACCAAACUAGCAACGUGGGACUAAACUUUAGUUCCACCUCUUUCCUUGCACGAAUGGGAUAAGUGGGCCUCUAGGAUUUAUUGGAAAUUCUGAAGAAGAUCAUUGGGCUAGCCCAAAAUUAUUAAAUUCCAGCAAUCCCCCACCAGAUCCUAGAGGCACAAAAAAAUUGCCUUUGGUUCCAAAACACUGUUUAUAUACCGGUACUGCACAGGAGACUAUUAAGUUUAACUUCCACCUAGAACUAUAUGUUAUACUAGUAAGCAACUUGAAUAGUGGACUAUGCCUUGAACUGCAAGUUUUCUGUGAAUCUAGUUUCACAUAGAGCCUUGACUGAUACUAGGCUACCGUUGGUGGAGCUUAUGCGUCAUACUCCGAGGACUUUCAUAAGUUUACUAGAGAGCACCCUACUCUCAUAGAUUGCGAUGUUAACAAUCAGACUCAUGUAGGUGUGUUCUUCAAAAGAGUUCUGUAGGACAACAUCUCUGCUUCAACAAGACAUUUAGAACAUAUAAAGAUAUAUAUCAACCUUCCAUGCAUAUUAGGAAAGUAUUGCAUCUUCAUGGAGUGGUAUUAUCAAUGGUAAGGAUACUUUCCUCUCACUUGACCAACAACUUGUCUUCCACAUCUAAUUCACGGGAUCUCCGGUCACAUUGAAUAGUUUAGCACCGUGAACAACUCAUAUUGUGGGUCUCAUACCCAUCCCCUUCGAUGCAUUAUAUAUCACAUUACAAGAUAGACCCUUAGUAAAAGGAUAUGCCAAAUUUUUAGAUGUUUGGAUAUAAUCCAAUGAAAUAACUCCGGAGUUUCUCAUUUUCCUCACAGAGUUUAACCUUCACUGAACAUGUCUUGAUGACUUCAUGUUAUCCUAUGAACUACUCACUUUUGCACUUACAGUUUGAUUGUUGUGGUUCAUAAGAACACCUGGUGCAGGUUUCUCAACAAACUAUAAGUCAUUCAAGAGCCGACGAAGCCAAUCUUCUUCGCCAUAGCUGUAUCUAGUGUUGUGAGUUCUGCUUCCAUUGUUGACCUCGUUAAGAUUGUUUGCUUGCAAGACUUCCAAGAAACAGCGCCACCACCAUGAGUAAAUACAUAUCCGCUCGUGGCCUUUAUCUCAUCAGCAUGAGAGAUCCAGUUUGAGUCACUAUACCCUUCAAGUACCUUUGGGUACCGAGUGUAUUGAAUUCCAUAACUCGUAGUGCCCUUCAAAUAGCGCAUAACUCUUUCUAGAGCUUUCCAAUGAUCAUCUCCUGGUUUUGAGACAAACCGGCUCAGCUUGCUAGCAGCAAAAGAGAUGUCACGUCUCGUAGCGCUUGCUAAAUACAUGAGCGAGCCAAUUAUUUGGGAUUAUUUCAAUUGAUCUCUAGCAAUUAUUCGAUUCUUUCGAAGCAACACGCUAGCAUCAUAAGGUGUUGGAGAAGGCUUGCAGUUAGUAUAACCAAAGUGACUCAAGAGAUUUUCCACAUAGUGAGAAUGAAGCAAAGUAAUCGCACCGUCAUCACUUCUCAGCAGCUUGAUAUUCAGAAUAACAUUAGCUAAUCCUAAAUCCUUUAUCUCGAAACAACGAGAUAGGAAAUCCUUGACUUCCUUAAUAACAUUCAUAUUUGUUCCGAAAAUCAAUAUGUCUUCAACAUAUAAGCAGAGGAUAACUCCCUCGCCCCCACCAUGGCGAUAGUACACACAUUUGUCAGCUUCGUUUACAACAAAGCCUACACCUAUUAAAGUUCUUUCAAACUUCUCAUGCCACUUCUUAGGUGCUUGCUUAAGUCCAUACAAUGACUUCAAAAAUUUGCACACUUUUCCCUCAUGACCGUCCAUUAUAAAUCCAUAUGGUUGUUCCAUAUAAAUUUCCUCGUCCAACUCUCCAUUUAGGGAAGCAGUCUUAACUUCCAUUUGGUGGACGAGAAUACCAUGUGAAGCUCCUAGUGAAAGAAGUACUAGAAUAGUGGUCAGUCGAGCCAUAGGUGAGUAAGUGUCAAAGAAGUCUUCACCUUCCUUUUGGGUAUAACCUUUGGCCACGAGUCAUGCCUUGUACUUCUCAAUAGUACUAUCAGGCCUAAGAUUCUUCUUGAAUACCCAUUUGCAGCCUAUAGGUUUGCACACAUAGGGACAAUCAGUUAUCUCACAAGUUUCAUUUGCGAGGAUGGAAUCCAUCUCACUACAAACCGCUUCCUUCUAGUAGUCAGCAUCUUCAGAUACAUAAGCCUCUGAAAUAGAACUGGGAGUGUCUUUUAUGAGAUAUACAAGAAAAUCAUCACCAAAGGACUUUGUAGUCCUUUGACUCUUGCUCCUUUUAGGAUUCUCCUUGUUGUUCUCCACAGGAUCUUCAAGAUGUUGUGUUGCAAUAGUCGGUUCAGAAGGUGCACCUACAUCUUGACUCGAUAAGCUAGGCAUCUCCUGAUUUGAUGCGCUAGCCAUAUCCUUAAUGGGAAAUAUAUCUUCAAAGAAGGUCACAUCAUUCCACUCCAUGAUUGUGCCAACAUGCAUGUCAGAUACCUCAUAUUUUAUAAUCAAGAAUCUACAACCAAUGCUAUGAAAAUAUACCCCAGGAAAACAUAAUCCACAGUUUUUGGCCCAAGCUUUCGCUUCUUUGGAAUUGGUAUAUUGACUUUUGCCAAGCAGCCCGAAGUUCAUAGGUAAGAGAGUUUUAACCUUUUCUUCUCCCAUUCCUCAAAUGGAGUUAUCUCUUUGUUCUUUGUGGGAACUCGGUUUAGGACAUGACAUGCAGUCAAAAUCGCAUCCCCCACCAUGCCUUGGAGAGACCUGAUAUGACUAAAAUGGCGUUAACAAAAUCAGUUGGAGUGUGGUUCUUCAUUUCAGCUACCCCAUCUGACUGAGGUGAAUAGGGAGGCGUUCUCUCAUGGAUUAUACCAUGUUCGGCACAAAAAGAAUCAAAUUCAUUGAAAAAAUACUCUCCACCAUGAUCAGACCUAAGCCUCUUAAUUUUCUGAUCAAGUUUGUUUUCCACUUUAGCUUUAUAGAUCUUGAAGAAAUUCAAAGCCUCAUCUUUAGAUUUUAAAAGAUACAGAUGGUACCAUCUAGUGGAGUCAUCGAUUAAUGUCAUAAAAUAUGACUUUCCACCUUUCGUCAAAAACACUGUUCAUUUCACAAAGAUCUGAAUGUAUGAGUUGUAGUGGCGCAAGAUUUCUUGUUUCUGCAGUUGCAUGAGACUUACGAGGUUGCUUAGCUUGCACACAAACUUGACCCUUAGAUCCCUUGAUAGAAGUGAAGUUCAGGAUCAAGUUCAACUUGACUAGCCGCGUCAUAGAACCAAAAUUAACAUGACAAAGACGUGAAUGAAAGACAUUUGAUUCUCUAUUAUUGCAAACGUGAUUAAACCCUUUAUUACAAAACAUCUAAUAAAGAUAGUCUGAACAAGCCUCCUGACUCAUAACCUUUACCAAGAAAAGUUCCAUACUUGGAUAUAAAAUUUAUUGGACUGAAAGACAAACUUGUAGCCAUCUCAACAUAGAGGAGAUCCACUAACAAGAUUUUUAUUAUCGGAGGGUACAUAAUGCAUGUUCUUCAGCCGCAUUAUUUUUCCUGAAGUAAACUUCAGAUCGACCGUGCCAACACCACGAACAUAAGCACUUGAACCGUUUCCCGCCAGGAUGGAGGUAGUCCCUGCGGCCUGAUAUGAAGAAAACAUAGAAAUAUCACCGCAUAUAUGCACAUUAACACCCGUAUCAAUCAACCAAUCAGGAGAACGACAUAGUGAGAGAAUAGUGGGAAGUAUACCAUACCCAACAUCCUGCAUCUCAGCAUCACCAAUGAUAACAUUAGCAAUCUUGUCGCCUUUCCCAUGUUGACGCUUUUCAUAACGGUUAGGGCAACUAGGUGCCCAAUGAUGAGGAUCUCCGCAAACAUGACAAACACCUUUCUUUUUGUCAGUCUUCUUCUUGAGUGUGCUGUGAAGCCUUGUUCUUCCCAUCAAACUUUCCCUUACCAUCAAAUUUGCCCUUGUUAUUGAACUUGUGGGGUUGGAAGUUUUUCUUCUGCACCAGAUUGGCACUAGAACCUCCUUCCAUACCUCAAGCAUGUAUGUCUUGCCUUUUCUUCCACAUCAAGAUUACCAAUGAGAUCCGGAACGGAAAACUCCUUCCUCUUAUGAGUGGGAGAGGUAGCAAAGUUCCUCCAUGAAGGAGGAAGCUUAGUAAUAAUACCUCCGGCAACAAACUUCACCGGUAACAUACAAUUGAAGUUCUCAAGUUCUCCAGCAAAUGAUUGUAUCUCGUGAGCUUGUUCAACCACAGAACGCUCAUCAGUCAUCUUUAUUCAUAGAAUUGUUCCAUGAUAUACAGCUUAGUGCCAGCAUUCGAGACUCCAAACUUGGCCUCGAGCACGCUCCACAUAUCUUUCCAUUGUCAAUUGACGCAUAAGCAUCAACAAUGUUCUCACCAAGAAUACUCAAGAGAGCAUCCUUAAACAAGGUAUCAAUUUUCUGAAAAGCGAAUUCCUGUUGAGGAUCAAGAAUUCCUUCAGGUUUGCCAAGAGUGGCAUCGUAGCAGCUCAUGGUUUGAAACCAUAGAACAUCCCUUACACACCAUCUCUUAUAGUGCACACCCUCGAACAUAGGAGGCCUCAUGGAAGCAGCAAAACCACUCGGGGUAAAUUUCCUAAAAUAAGGUCUUCGGAUUGUUGGAAAUAUGAGCGAUUUACCAAGUGAUUUUACUAGCAGAAAUAGUAGAUGAAUCAUGACUACCAUAGCAAUUAUAAGACAAGCCAGUCGAUUAUACACAGAGUAUGCAAGUAGCAUAUGAAGUGAUGAGCAGGAACGAAACAUAUCUAGAAAAGAAACUAUAACAAGAAGUUGUGGCAGGAACUCAAACAAGAAGAACACGAGAACAUACUGAGUUGGAGCAGCAGCUAUAGUGGGAUUUGCGUUGACGUCGUCAUUGGCCAUGUUGCCGAAGAGGCUGUCGAUGUCGGGGAAGAAGUCGUCAUCCGGGAAGUAGUCGUCAGCGUUCGUGAUGGAAAAGCCAGUAGUCGCAUUGAGCGCUCCCCAAAAACCUUAUCGCCCUUCUCCAGUACAUGACUCAAAGAGACGGGGUUUCGGAGGCCUACUGUUCCGACCUGCGGUGCACGUCGCAAGCCGGGGCGGGGAAAAGCUAGCAGUAGCUCAGAGAUUGGAACUCGUUGGCAUGAGGAAGAUGGUAUUCUCGUGUGUCUCUCUGGAGAGGAGCGACCUGUCUUUUAUAGGCCCAUGAGAAGGAGGCAGGCACGCAACAUCGGGAGGCGAAGCAAAAGAGAUUGCAGUCAGGUUGAUAAUAGUCGAGUGACAUUACUUCGUCGGUCCAAACUAAGGAAUCUGUUAUAAAUGUUUUGAAAUAGAUAUUGUUCUCUCUUUGAUCAGGGAUUGCUAUAUGAAAAUAAGUGGAGUUUGAAAAAGGGAACGAAAUGCUCAAACCGGAACUGCUAGAGGAACGAAUUUUCAAUAGCAUAACUUGGGCUCCUAGAAUAUGGUGCCCUUGAGACAAUCUAUUUGAUUGCAGGGUUUUGUUCUGAAGCAAAGAUAUCCGCAGAGGACGGUUCGUUCGUCCUAUUCUGAUAUUCAGGACCAAGAGGUACUGCAUUCUCUGGCUGAAAUGCCAACGGAACUCUGUCUAUUCUCUAAUUCACCCGAUCCGAUAGUACCUGUUUUUGGAACGUCCAGUGCCAAAGUCAUUGAAUGGGUAAGUCACGAAUCCAAUCCCUUUGACAAAUCGGAUGUCAUAUUAUAUAUCAUAUCCUAUAUAUAUAUAUAGAAAUAUCAUAGAUACCCCGUUUCGUGACGAGGCGAGACGGGCGGCGGAGGAGGAGGAGCGUGCGUGUAUGUCUCUCUUGUUCUCAUGCUCAUACAUGUGUGGAAACAUCCUUUCUUAUAAGGAGGUCCAACUCCUACCAAACUAGCAAUGUGGGACUAAACUUUAGUCCCUCCUCUUGCCUUGCACGAGUGGGCUAAGUGGGCCUCUAGGAUUUAUUAGAAAUUCUGAAAAAGGUCAUUGGGCUGGCCCAAAAUUAUAAAAUUCUAGCACAUAAUUGGGGGGGGGGGUAUACCUCUGGGGCUCCCGAUAGUCCGAUGAGCAGGCUGCCGGACAUGAGGCAGACAAAGGGAUCCGCAGCGCUCGGCCAUAGAUUAGUGUAGGGUAUCCAUGUCGUUAGAAUGGAGCUCCACGCGACCAGACGUGCACAUAGUUUUACCUAUUUUAGUUCAAAUAUGUCCAAAAUGCAAUGAAUUUAGUCCGGUUUAUAUGAAAUCCGUUGUGUUUGCAUGAGUUUCAUCUGCUUUGUUGGAAAAGUGUUUGAAAUAUACUUCCUCCGUUCCAAAAUAUAAGACCUUUUAGGAAUUUCACUAUAAGACUACACACGGAGCAAAAUGAGUGAAUCUAUACUCUAAAAUAUGUCUAUGUACAUCCGUAUGUAGUUUAUAGUGCAAUCUCUAAAAGGUCUUAUAUUUAGGAACGGAGGGAGUAUGUGAGUAACGAUGGAUGACCGACAACACUCGAGAAUAUCAUUUUUGGUGGUGCUCCUCAGGUGCCGAGUCAUCACUUUCAAGGUGAAAACCUAAGGUCUAACUUUCGUUUUGUGCCUUAUAUUAGAGUAUUUAACCAAAAACCACCAUAAUUCAUGGAAACGUGCCUAGAAACUACUACUAUACGUUUUUGUGCCGAAAGCUACCAUUUUUAUCCUAAUCAGUGGCAAAAAACUACCAAGUGUGAAUAUUGCUCCAUUAGCCUCUUUGAAAUGCCUUUUAUCCUAAUCCGUUAACUACUCCAUUAACCUACCUGGCGCAGCCCCGCCGCCGUCGCCAUGGCCUCGCCCAAAGCGGCGGCCGCCCCGUGCCUCGCCGUCGGCAGGCCUCCUUGUCGCCGACCACGUCGCCGUCGGAUCCCGGCGUCCUGCGAACCGCCCCACGCUGCCAGUCUCCAUGCCCUCGCACCGAGCGGCGGCCGCCCCGCGCCUCGCGGCCGAAGGCCUCCCGUCGUGGACCCUGCCGUGGUUGGAUCCCACCGCCUCGCCUCCCUGGCGCAGCCUCGUUGCCCCGUGAACCGCCCCGCGCCGUCCAUCGCCAUGGCCUCGCCUCGAGCGGUCGUCGCCAGCGUCUCGCCGUCACCAGAUCCGGCAGGCGUCGCCCUGGUUCCGCCUCUCCCGGACCUCCCCGCCGCCCUGCUCAUGCCGGAGUGCUGCGUGUAGAUCGCGUCGUCUCCUCCAGAUCCGGUCGCACCGCCGCCGUACUUCAUCUUCUCCACCUCCGGUGAAGGCCGCCGCCGUCUCGAUCUCUUUCUCCGGUGACGGCAAACUUAACGGUGCUGACUUUUCCGUCCUGACAUGUGGGCCAACCCUGUCAUAAUGAGUUUAAACGAGCCAAAUGAGGCGUUUUGCAGACUUGAUUGUUUUUAGUCACAGAUUAGCAAAAAAAAAUUGAUAGUUUUUGGCGCAAAAACGAAUUGUGAUAGUUCCUGGGCACGUUGGCGUGAAUUGUAGUAGUUUUUGAUUAAAUACUCCUCAUAUUACCUUGAUGAAGGUAUUGUUUCGAGAGCUCGGUCUUUUUAAGGGAGAAAACCUAAGAUCUUGGAUCGGACGACGAUGACGCUUGUGCACCGAUUUUUUUUUAAAGGCAUCAUUUUUUAGGAUGGUUUGAGUGUCGCUGCUGCUGAGAAGAGUUGUUCACUGUGACGAGUAGUUGAAAAUGCUCUUACUAUUACAUUUUUCUUUCAAACACGUUACAGUUUACUCCCACCUCAAGUAGUUCCGAGCUACUGUACGUAGUAGCCACACACAUGGAGCGACUCACUCACCUCCAACCAAUUUAACUUUCGUGAAUCUUUGAUCGCUUUUCAUUUGGCCCAGCUCGACGUCACGCGGAUGUCCCCGAUGGAUCUCGCCGGCCACACGCCCCUCGACGACGACGAGAUGAGCAGCGUGUGAUCCUCGUCGCCCCGUCCAUCCAACCGAAGAUAAGACGCCCACUCCCUCCCCUCCACAUGGCACCCACCCUCCAAUCCCUUACUUAUUCCCGCCCCCCUCACUCCUCCAUCCCCUAGCUCCACCUCUCAUCCGCUCCUCAGCCACACCUAGAGCAUCUUAGCUCCAGCUAGCCACCAAUGGCCGCCGCACUGAGCCUCCGCGCGCCCUUCUCCGUGCGCGCUGUGGCGCCACCGGCGCCCCGCGUGGCCCUUGCGCCCGCGGCCCUCAGCCUCGCCGCCGCCAAGCAGGUGCGGGGAGCCAGGCUCCGCGCGCAGGCGACGUACAAGGUGAAGCUGGUGACGCCCGAGGGCGAGGUGGAGCUGGAGGUCCCCGACGACGUCUACAUCCUGGACCAGGCCGAGGAGGAGGGCAUCGACCUGCCCUACUCCUGCCGCGCCGGCUCCUGCUCCUCCUGCGCCGGCAAGUUGGUGUCCGGCGAGAUCGACCAGUCCGACCAGAGCUUCCUCGACGACGACCAGAUGGAGGCAGGGUGGGUGCUCACCUGCCACGCCUACCCCAAGUCCGACAUCGUCAUCGAGACCCACAAGGAGGAGGAGCUCACCGCAUAAGCUGCUUACCCUGCCUCUCUUUGCAACAAGAUCGAGCUGAUAUCAUAUUAUCUCCCAUCAUGCAUGCAUGCAUGGAUAUCGCCAGAUACACCGAUUUGUUUGUGCUCGAAUGAAUUGCUCGAUGCAUGGUUUGCUCCAGUAAUAAUGUCUUCGAAUUACUACCUUUUUGUACCGUAAGAUAUACUACUGUCGUAAUACUAGCGUGUACUUAAUUCAACGUACUGAAAUGAAUCCUGAU
rnacentral:lncRNA from 1 species